UGCUUAACAGUCAAAAAAGUGCAGUGUUUUGAAGUGAAGCGCAUUUGUAAAUGCAUUUGCCAAUAAGAUUAAACAAUAUGAGUGCAUCAAAAGUGAUUAAAAACGCAAGUCAACCAGUUAGCAAACCAGUACAAUUGGCGAAAUGCGCAUUAUACGCGUACAAACAGCUGGUGCAUCAAGUAACUGGAACCAACGUGGAAUCAGUCAGGACAGAGCCGACUCAAAUCGGAAGACUUUAGUGCUAAAUAACACCCUUUGGACUUUGGCGGGACUUUAAAUACUUGCAGAAAAUGACUAAAUGAAACAACUAUAACUAUAAUUUAAUAUUACAUUUAAAUACUCUAUUUACAUAUAUAUUAAUUUAUUAUAAUUGAUAAAUAUACGCCAUUUUAUAUUCUUA